UGGGGAAUAUUGCACAAUGGGCGCAAGCCUGAUGCAGCCAUGCCGCGUGUGUGAAGAAGGCCUUCGGGUUGUAAAGCACUUUCAGCGAGGAGGAAGGUGGUGAGCUUAAUACGCUCAUCAAUUGACGUUACUCGCAGAAGAAGCACCGGCUAACUCCGUGCCAGCAGCCGCGGUAAUACGGAGGGUGCAAGCGUUAAUCGGAAUUACUGGGCGUAAAGCGCACGCAGGCGGUUUGUUAAGUCAGAUGUGAAAUCCCCGGGCUCAACCUGGGAACUGCAUUUGAAACUGGCAAGCUAGAGUCUCGUAGAGGGGGGUAGAAUUCCAGGUGUAGCGGUGAAAUGCGUAGAGAUCUGGAGGAAUACCGGUGGCGAAGGCGGCCCCCUGGACGAAGACUGACGCUCAGGUGCGAAAGCGUGGGGCAGCAAACAGGAUUAGAUACCCUGGUAGUCCACGCUGUAAACGAUGUCGAUUUUGGAGGUUGUGCCCUUGAGGCGUGGCUUCCGGAGCUAACGCGUUAAAUCGACCGCCUGGGGAGUACGGCCGCAA
rnacentral:rRNA from 1 species